GACGAACGCUGGCGGCGUGCUUAACACAUGCAAGUCGAACGGAAAGGCCCUGCUUUUGUGGGAUGCUCGAGUGGCGAACGGGUGAGUAACACGUGAGUAACCUGCCCUUGACUUUGGGAUCACUUCAGGAAACUGGGGCUAAUACCGGAUACGAGCUCCUGCUGCAUGGUGGGGGUUGGAACGUUUCGGUGGUUGGGGAUGGACUCGCGGCUUAUCAGCUUGUUGGUGGGGUAGUGGCUUACCAAGGCUUUGACGGGUAGCCGGCCUGAGGGGGUGACCGGCCACAUUGGGACUGGAAUACGGCCCAGACUCCUACGGGAGGCAGCAGUGGGGAAUAUUGCACAAUGGGCGGAGGCCGGAUGCAGCAACGCCGCGUGCGGGAUGAGGGCCUUCGGGUGGUAAACCGCUUUCGCCUGUGACGAAGCGUUAGUGACGGUAAUGGGUAAAGAAGCACCGGCUAACUACGUG
rnacentral:rRNA from 1 species